ACUCCUACGGGAGGCAGCAGUGGGGAAUAUUGCACAAUGGGGGAAACCCUGAUGCAGCCAUGCCGCGUGUGUGAAGAAGGCCUUCGGGUUGUAAAGCACUUUCAGUAGGGAGGAAGGUAGUGUAGUUAACACCUGCACUAUUUGACGUUACCUACAGAAGAAGCACCGGCUAACUCCGUGCCAGCAGCCGCGGUAAUACGGAGGGUGCGAGCGUUAAUCGGAAUUACUGGGCGUAAAGCGCAUGCAGGCGGCCUGUUAAGUCAGAUGUGAAAGCCCGGGGCUUAACCUCGGAAUUGCAUUUGAAACUGGCAGGCUAGAGUCUUGUAGAGGGGGGUAGAAUUUCAGGUGUAGCGGUGAAAUGCGUAGAGAUCUGAAGGAAUACCGGUGGCGAAGGCGGCCCCCUGGACAGAUACUGACACUCAGAUGCGAAAGCGUGGGGAGCAAACAGGAUUA
rnacentral:rRNA from 1 species